rnacentral:rRNA from 1 species
UACAGAGGUCUCAAGCGUUGUUCGGAAUCAUUGGGCGUAAAGCGCACGUAGGCGGCCUGAUAAGUCGGGUGUGAAAGCCCUGGGCUCAACCCAGGAAGUGCGCUCGAAACUGUCAGGCUUGAAUAUGGAAGAGGGUCGCGGAAUUCCCGGUGUAGAGGUGAAAUUCGUAGAUAUCGGGAGGAACACCAGUGGCGAAGGCGGCGACCUGGGCCAAUAUUGACGCUGAGGUGCGAAAGCGUGGGGAGCAAACAGG